CAGUUUCUUUUUUUCCCAGUUUCCAUGUGCUGUUCGAUCUAUGGAAAUUCUUCACUUGGAGUUCUAUGACAGCAAAUGAGGAAACUGAGAAGAGAGAACUACUGAGUCUCUUCUGCUUUUUUUCUUUGCCUCAUGUUGGAUAUCUCUACUCUGUUGGGAAGUUAGUAGAACUGAUUUCUACUUACCAGUGCUCGGAGAGGUCAGAGCAGGCAGUUCUUACUCCACAGUUCCUGCAUGUCAUUACAAGUUUUUCUUUCCUCUUUGUGAGAGCCUGCAGUGUUACACAGUGCGGUGCAGUGCAGCAGCAGCUCGCGAUGAAGAUCCAUGCAUUGAUACAACUGUGAAGGUGCAUAUCUCAUAUUUUU